rnacentral:rRNA from 1 species
AUACGGGGGGAGCAAGCGUUGUCCGGAAUUACUGGGCGUAAAGAGCGUGUAGGCGGCUUGAUAAGUCAGAUGUGAAAGCCUUCCGCUUAACGGAAGAACUGCAUUUGAAACUGUCGGGCUUGAGUGCGAGAGAGGGUAGUGGAAUUCCCAGUGUAGCGGUGAAAUGCGUAGAUAUUGGGAAGAACACCAGUAGCGAAGGCGGCUACCUGGCUCGUAACUGACGCUAAGGCGCGAAAGCGUGGGGAGCAAACAGGAUUAGAAACCCGAGUAGUCC